rnacentral:rRNA from 1 species
GAUGAACGCUGGCGGCGUGCCUAACACAUGCAAGUCGAGCGAUUUACUUCGGUAAAGAGCGGCGGACGGGUGAGUAACGCGUGGGUAACCUGCCCUGUACACACGGAUAACAUACCGAAAGGUAUGCUAAUACGAGAUAAUAUGCUUUUAUCGCAUGGUAGAAGUAUCAAAGUUUUUGCGGUACAGGAUGGACCCGCGUCUGAUUAGCUAGUUGGUAAGGUAACGGCUUACCAAGGCGACGAUCAGUAGCCGACCUGAGAGGGUGAUCGGCCACAUUGGAACUGAGACACGGUCCAAACUCCUACGGGAGGCAGCAGUGGGGAAUAUUGCACAAUGGGCGAAAGCCUGAUGCAGCAACGCCGCGUGAGCGAUGAAGGCCUUCGGGUCGUAAAGCUCUGUCCUCAAGGAAGAUAAUGACGGUAC